UCCUGUCUGAAUAUGGGGGGACCAUCCUCCAAGGCUAAAUACUCCUGACUGACCGAUAGUGAACCAGUACCGUGAGGGAAAGGCGAAAAGAACCCCGGCGAGGGGAGUGAAAAAGAACCUGAAACCGUGUACGUACAAGCAGUGGGAGCACAGGUUUACCUGUGUGACUGCGUACCUUUUGUAUAAUGGGUCAGCGACUUAUAUUCUGUAGCAAGGUUAACCGAAUAGGGGAGCCGSAGGGAAACCGAGUCUUAAUUGGGCGUUAAGUUGCAGGGUAUAGACCCGAAACCCGGUGAUCUAGCCAUGGGCAGGUUGAAGGUUGGGUAACACUAACUGGAGGACCGAACCGACUAAUGUUGAAAAAUUAGCGGAUGACCUGUGGCUGG
rnacentral:rRNA from 1 species